rnacentral:pre_miRNA from 1 species
AUAUGGAUUAUCUGAGGAUCUUGUGAAAGUGUAGAUUCUGAUUCAUUGGAUAUGGGUGAAUCUUGAGAUUCUACAUUUCUCACAAGAUCCUGGGUGAAUUUAAU